CAUAAGUUUAAGUUGUAGUACUAGAAGUAGUAUGAUAAGUAGUCGAGUAGUGAUAUUAGUAGUCAUGUCAGCAGUAGAAGUAGUUUGAGAAAAAAGUAUAAGUCAAAGUAGUAGAGAAAGUAGAAAUAGUAGCAAUAGCAGCAGUAGAGAAAGUAGAAAUAGGAGCAAUAGCAGUUGAAGUAGAGGGGAAAGUAUUUGUUUAAUUGACAUUAGCAGUAGUUGUCGUACUUGAGGUAGGAUUUUGUUUGAAGGAUGGAAUAAUGCAUAAAUAUGAAAACUAAUUUAAACAGGGAAAAUUUAAAUAAUUAAAAAUCCUCAAGUAUCAGAAAGUUUUUAUGUAUUAGAAAGGCUUGAAUCAGUUUGAAUGAGUUUAAAUUAGUUUGAAAAAUUAAAUGAUAAAUCAUCACUGAGUGACUUAUAAAAGUGAACAGUUUAAAUGAAUAUAAAUCCUGAAUACACCCCAUAAUGUCCUCAAUGAGCUUAAAUUUUAAAGCCCUGAAUGGUUUCUGUAGGUCAAAGGUCAUGUGAAGAGAUAGAGGCUGAAGUUUUUUCAAGCGCUCUAGGAAAGGGUUUUAAGUGUCAUCCCCAGUGCUAUGUGUACUGAGCCUGGCUUCAUGUGUCUCAUAUGGCCAUUAGAAGCAGCUUUCCAGUCAGCUGUGUGUCUCCAGGUGCACUAAUUGGUUGCCAUGGGGACCUUGGAUGCAUAACUAUAGCAGGAGAAAGAAGGCUUAAAGCUAAGGAAACAGGACUCCAAGUAGGCCCUGACGCUCAUCCUCUGUAUCUAUUCCUGAAAAGGAGCUUGUGAGAACACAAGACUCUGCUAUACACAUUAAUACAAUUUAUUAUCACAAUCUUCAAAACACCCCAUAAUAUCUUGAAUGAGCUGAAUUUUUGAAGCCCAGAAUGGUUCCUGUGGCUCAAAGUUUGUGGUUGGAGAUAGGUGGUGAAGCAGACACAUAUUAAAUGUGUGUACAAGCAGCUGAACUGCAAGGUAGACCUCACAAAGCAACAAGUACAAGAAUGUGUGUGUGUGUGUGUGUGUGUGUGUGUGUGUGUCUCGUUAAUGAUUGCAUCCUUAACAGCUGUAAGAUCAAAGCCAUGAACUGACCUAUUGUUUGAAUGGAGAAGCUGCUGAACUGCAGUGAAUUUAGGGUUCUGAACUUCUUCACAUAGCACGAUUUCCUUAAGUCCCAGAAUGAAAAUAAGAACAUCGUACAAAUCCUCCUCCCUUCAUGAACACAAUGAUGUGUUUUUCAUGUCUGUACUCCGAAAAAUGUGGCCACAACAGCGAGUUAAAAAAGUCUGAGCCUGAGUGGCGAUAAGGAUUUUCUUGGAGAAAAAAUACAUUAGAGCCAAUGGGGAGAGAUUUCCGCCUAUUUGGACAGUUGGUCACCUGCUGGCCAAGGGGUAAGAUUUAAUGAUUUGAAACCUCUUUUGUGAGAAGCAGGACACAUAUACCUCCAUUUUGAUGUAUUUUUUAUGGCUGUGGAGUGAGAUUUGUGGGCGUGGGAGCGAUAUAUUCGAGCGAGGUUCUGUCGAUCAGAGACGAGGUCUGCACUCUAGCUUUUCAAAUCAUCACUCUAGCCUCUCCAAUACACCCCUAUUAUAAAGCCUGAAAUUAGCUGAAAACCACAAGUUGCAUAAAGCUAAAUUGUGGAAAAACUGUAAAAGAUAGCACAAAAAGGUUAAUACAAUAUCAAUAGUCGACAAGACAAUGAACAUUUUAAAGCAAAAAUGAGGUCUCUAGGUGAAAGUAUGCUGAAGUUAUAAGGCUUAGAAGGUGGACGAAUAACAGGAAGUAUUGGAAGAUUUCCCCAUUCAUUUCUAUGGGAAAAAAAGUUUGGCACAAAAAGUGAAAAAUAAUAAAAAGUAUAAAGGGUAGAAAAAAGAAAAGUAAUAGCCAUCAUGUCCUGAAGGAGUGGAAUCGUUUAAAGUUUGAACGGUUGAAAUCGGACAAAGUUUGAAGGAGGAGAAGCGGUCCAAAGAAACGUAUGGGGAGAGUGUUAAGUAUAAUACUAGAAAAAUUGCAUUUCCUUGCAGAAAAUGCGUGGAAAUGCUGAGUGCUGAAAGCUGAAAAAGCAAUGCUAAACUGCUAAUAAAACAUGGAGAAAGGUAUAAAUGUUAAAGCUGUUGAAGGGGUGAAAAAGAAAUAUAAGUUGGAUAAUUGUUUAAUUGGUCGAAGGACAAAUAGUCUGAAUAUGCUCUAUAAAAGGAAAUUUUAUUCAUGCUGAAAGAGGCUAGAAAAAUGUCUAAAAUUGCACAAAGUUUGAAUGAAGAAGGAAACUGCCUUAAAAGGCAGGAAGGUGAGAAGUGGCAUAAGUUUAAGUUGUAGUACUAAAAGUAGUAUAAGAGGUCAAGGCGUGAUACUAGUAGUCGUGUCAGCAGUAGAAGUAGAUUGAGGAUAAAAGAAGUAUAAGUCAAAGUAGUAAAGAAAGUAGAAAUAGUAGCAAUAGCAGUUGAAGUAGAGGGGAAAGUACUAGUUUAAUUGACAUUAGCAGUAGUUGUAGUACUAGAGGUGGGAUUUUGUUUAAAGGAUGGAAUAAUGCAUAAAUAUUCAAACUAAUUUAAACAGGGAAAAUUUUAUUAAUGAAAAAUCCUCAAGUAUCAGAAAGUUUUUUAGUAUUAGAAAGG